UGGGGAAUUUUGGACAAUGGGCGAAAGCCUGAUCCAGCAAUGCCGCGUGUGUGAAGAAGGCCUUCGGGUUGUAAAGCACUUUUGUCCGGAAAGAAAUCCUUGGCUCUAAUACAGUCGGGGGAUGACGGUACCGGAAGAAUAAGCACCGGCUAACUACGUGCCAGCAGCCGCGGUAAUACGUAGGGUGCAAGCGUUAAUCGGAAUUACUGGGCGUAAAGCGUGCGCAGGCGGUUUGCUAAGACCGAUGUGAAAUCCCCGGGCUCAACCUGGGAACUGCAUUGGUGACUGGCAGGCUAGAGUAUGGCAGAGGGGGGUAGAAUUCCACGUGUAGCAGUGAAAUGCGUAGAGAUGUGGAGGAAUACCGAUGGCGAAGGCGAGCCCCCUGGGCCAAUACUGACGCUCAUGCACGAAAGCGUGGGGGAGCAAACAGGAUUAGAUACCCUGGUAGUCCACGCCCUAAACGAUGUCAACUAGUUGUUGGGGAUUCAUUUCCUUAGUAACGUAGCUAACGCGUGAAGUUGACCGCCUGGGGAGUACGGUCGCAAGAUUAAAACUCAAAUGAAUUGACGGGGUC
rnacentral:rRNA from 1 species